UAGGGAAUCUCCGGCAAUGGACGGAAGUCUGACCGAGCAACGCCGCGUGAGUGAAGAAGGUUUUCGGAUCGUAAAGCUCUGUUGUAAGAGAAGAACGAGUGUGAGAGUGGAAAGUUCACACUGUGACGGUAUCUUACCAGAAAGGGACGGCUAACUACGUGCCAGCAGCCGCGGUAAUACGUAGGUCCCGAGCGUUAUCCGGAUUUAUUGGGCGUAAAGCGAGCGCAGGCGGUUAGAUAAGUCUGAAGUUAAAGGCUGUGGCUUAACCAUAGUACGCUUUGGAAACUGUUUAACUUGAGUGCAAGAGGGGAGAGUGGAAUUCCAUGUGUAGCGGUGAAAUGCGUAGAUAUAUGGAGGAACACCGGUGGCGAAAGCGGCUCUCUGGCUUGUAACUGACGCUGAGGCUCGAAAGCGUGGGGAGCAAACAGGAUUAGAUACCCUGGUAGUCCACGCCGUAAACGAUGAGUGCUAGGUGUUAGACCCUUUCCGGGGUUUAGUGCCGUAGCUAACGCAUUAAGCACUCCGCCUGGGGAGUACGACCGCAAGGUUG
rnacentral:rRNA from 1 species